AGUGAACGCUGGCGGCGUGCUUAACACAUGCAAGUCGAACGAGAACGGAAUAUAGCUUGCUAUAUUUGUCAGCUAAGUGGCGCACGGGUGAGUAAUGCAUAGGAAUCUGCCCUGUAGUGGGGGACAACGUGGGGAAACUCACGCUAAUACCGCAUACGCCCUUAGGGGGAAAGCGGGGGACCUUCGGGCCUCGCGCUAUAGGAUGAGCCUAUGUCGGAUUAGCUAGUUGGUGGGGUAAAGGCCUACCAAGGCGACGAUCCGUAGCUGGUCUGAGAGGAUGAUCAGCCACACUGGGACUGAGACACGGCCCAGACUCCUACGGGAGGCAGCAGUGGGGAAUAUUGGACAAUGGGCGAAAGCCUGAUCCAGCAAUACCGCGUGUGUGAAGAAGGCCUGAGGGUUGUAAAGCACUUUCACUGGGGAGGAAAAAAGCAAUCUUAAUACGGUUGCUCUUGACAUUACCUAGAGAAGAAGCACCGGCUAACUCCGUGCCAGCCGCCGCCGUAA
rnacentral:rRNA from 1 species